AAUCUCUAGUUCAACAACCCAAAUUUUAAGAUGGGGGAACAUCUCUAGUUCGAUGUCCCAGUUUUUAUCUUUUUUUUAAAUCAGGAAGCUACAAAAUUGCAGCAGUUUCCAUAGAGAGCCAUAUUAUGAUCAGUUCAACAUUUCAGAGUGCAAACAUAAUAUUGAUAUACAAUUGUAUGUAGGAAUACAGGCAGAAAAUAGACCAGAAAAUGCCAGAUGUCAUCAAAAUAAUCAUUUAUCACUGUACAGCAGCCAAUCUUUAUCUUCAGUUCAAUGUUUAUGUGUGACAUCUGCUUUAGCUGUUAAAGUCAAGUAAAUCGAAAUGUGUUUAUGAGCUCGACAGAAAAUUCAUUUUGAUUAUUUUAGUGUGCAAACAACCAGUCAUGCAGUUCAAACUUUCAGUUGUAAAUCAAAUCAAAUAUUGAUAAAAAACAAAUAUUUUGCUUUGUGUUUUCAAGAAAAUUUGUCAUAAAGUUUGAAAAUCAAAUUACACGACAUAGAAUUUUAGGUUUUUCUUAAAAACACAUUUUUCCGUGGUCGGCAAAAAUGCACUUCAAGAUGAUAUUGCACACUUCCCUACACUGAUUUAAAAUAUUUCAAAAAAAUAUAUGUAAAUUCUCUAUGGCAAACCCAUUGGGAUUCAUGCGACACAAGUAAACUUUAUUCUAUUCAUUACAAAGUAAAACCAUGUAACAUCAUAAUGAAACGCCAGGACGAAGUGAUUUUUUUCAGAAUAUGCAUUGGACAUUCAAAAUUGACAGUCAUUCUUACCUACUAAACAGAGAAUUUCAGUCUGAAUUAAUGUACUUAAGACUGUCCAUUAACUAUAUACAUCACAUUCUUUUAGAAUGCAGUGAUUUUACACCUGUAAGGGAUAGACUUUUUAAUUUGGUAAUCUGUAAUCAAUGCAAAAAUGUUUUACAAAUAUUGACAAUCGAUCAUUAUAUUAUACAAUAUUUACAAGAAUGGGAUUUUUACAGAAAAUAAUUGAAUACUUUGACAAUACAACUUUUGAUUUACAUGAAAUGAUCUGUAUUUUUACCUGUUUCUGUAUUUUUUACUUUUAUAUCCUUUGGAUGGGACGUUAAAGGGUGUCUCAUUCAGGGAUCACAACCCCAUUGGAACGCAAAAGAGUUUCCCUGAUUUUUGAAAGAGUAUAGGCUCACUGGGGCCAUCAGGGAAACUCAAACACUCACAACCAAACAUAUUUCAAUUAUUUAACCGCCAUGAAAUGGCUGAAAUAUUGCCAAAACGGCUUAAAGCUGCAAAUCAAUCAAUCAAAUACCAUUUUAGUUUUCCUUUACUAAAUAGUUAGACUAAAUGAUUUCAUUGCCAGUUUUAGAUUCUUAAUGGUGAAAUAACUUUCCAUUACACCCGAUUAAUUAAAAUUCAAUUAGAUUUUUACAGCAUGGUGUAGAAUUAAUCAGCUCACAUUCUAUAUGCACUUCUCUGUUGAUUUACAUAAUCUUCAUUAUUCAAACACAAAGUUGAACCCAUCAAGUUUUAGUCAAAAUUGCUCCAUUUAAAAGAGGGAAUAAAAAACCGAUAGACGAAAAUAUAUUGUCGCAGUAAACUAUUUAACCCGAGAUGAGGUCUUCCAAUUGCAAAUACCAUCAACGAUUAGCUACACAAAAAAGGUAAGAGAAUACCUUGUCUCUGGUUUUUCGUUCCAAAAAUUGUGGGCUGGGACAGAAAGAUAUCUUCGUCUCAACUUCCGUUCGUUAUAGGUGGUGAGGUUCAAACGAUGAAAUUGAACAGCGUGAAGAAAUUAUUGUGCACCAAAUAGCGAUGCAUUAAUUUAAUCCAAGAAUCAUCAGUAGAUUUAGAAUGACCAGAACAGUGCUGCUCUUUCAAUGGGGCUUUUCAGUGAAGUGCAAUAUUUUUUUCAAAAUGUCGCCGGCUGUAUUGCCCACUUUGUUCAUCUAUAAUAAUCCGUGGUAUGACAUUUUUAAAAAAAGGGAUUCUAUGCAAUAUAAUUAUGUGUAUUCCAAUUAAAUGAAAGCACUCUAAAAUUUAAUAUUUUAUCAGAAAUACACCUGAAAUACCAUUAAAAAACACAAGGAGGGGGGAAAGGGACCUGAAGUACUAUACACAUGCACCUGUACGUUUACUUGAUUAAGAUAUAAGGCUCACGGCAGGUGUGACCUGUCGACAGGGGAUGCUUAAUCCUCCUAGGGGCCUGAUCCAACCUCUGAUGUGUACAGGGCUCCGUGUUUGCCCAGCUCUUAAUUUUGUAUUCCUUAUAGGAGUUAUGAAAUUGAUCACUGUUCGUUAUCUUUGCCUUUUUCACAUGUGCAAAUUUAAGACCAUAUGACUAUUUUUGUAGAUUGAAUAAAUUGCACAUAUAUUAUUUUAAUGUCAAAUGUAGAUGCUUACGAAGUUACGUUCGUGGAGAUUUUCCAAGAAGAUUUGCUUAGAGCUCUAGGAAAUGAAUUUCAAAUUUUAAGUAAGAUCAUAGACAAUUUUAAAGAUUGAUUGAAUAUUGUUUAUGGUACCUUCACACUCACAGAUUUUUCUUACGGAUCCUUACGUAUUCCACAAAUCCAUAAAAGUACACGGAUUGUUACGAUUUAGAGCUUUAUAAGAACGUUUUAAGGGUAUUUACAGGCAAUUUACAGUUUAUUACGAGUUCUUGCGAUGCAUUUACGGCACACAUUUACGAUCUGUUCCAAGUGAACACGGAUAAAUACGAGCAAUUUACGACAUUUUAUGGACUUUUUAGGGAUUGUUACAAGUAUAUACGGAAAUUUACGAUCUAGUUUAGCUUUUACGUGUAAAUCACGACCUGUUAACGUGUUGAUAACGUGCUGUUAUGAAUAGUUAGGAGUUAGUUACGAUUGUUUACGUUUUUGACUCAAAAGUGUUCGCAAUUGACUUUGUAUCAUCAUUCGACAACUGACAUUACUUGUAACAGCAUGUAUGUAUAUUGUAUGCAAGAUGUGUAACUUCUUUGAUGUUUUGAUAACAACUGAAAGAAACUGUCAGAUUUUGCGUCUUUUAUACCUUUCCUUAAUCAUAAAGUUUAAGUAUGUACUCGUAAAGUAAUCGUGUCUAUAUGUAAAGUGCUCAUAAUGACUCUGAACAAUCCGUAAAGCGAUUGUAACCCGACGUAAAUGAAAUCGUAAAUAUCACUUAGGCAUUUUUAAUAAUCCGUAAACAACUCGUAAACUAUCUGUAACAUAUCGUAAACUAACCGCAAAGAUUUGUAAAAAAAACUUUUUACGAGUGUUUUACGGAUUCUUACGAGCAGUUUACGUGUUCUUGCGACCAGUUUACGAUACUCACAGAUUGUUACAAGUUAUUUACGGAAAAUGAAAUCUGUGGACAAUCGUAAUUUUUUUUUGGACAUGUCAAAAAAUUUGCCCCUACUUUCACGGAUCCUUACGAGUGUGUGCGAGUUGUGACGAGUUAUUAACGGAUACCGACAAGUGAUUUAUGAAUGCUUGCGAUUAACGAGUCGGAGAUCCAUAAGGACUCGUGUAAGAAAAAUCUGUGAGUGUGAAGGUGGUAUUAACAUCCCUCUUGAGAAUAUUUCACUCAUAUGGAGACAUCACCAUUGCUCAUGAAGGGCUGCAAAAUUUAGGCCUAUGCUCACCGCUUAAGACCUUUGAGCAGGGAGGGAUCUUUAUCGUGCCACACCUGCUGUGAUAUGGGCCUCAGUUUUUGCGGUCUCAUCCGAAAGACCACCUCAUUUAGUCGCCUAUUACGACAAGCAAGGGGUAUUGAGGACCUAUUCUAACCUGGAUCCCCACGGGAUAAAUUCUAAAGAUAAAAGAUAAGUAAAUAUCUGAGGCUUAAGUACAAGUCCUUGUACUUUAAGCAAUGAAGAAUUGUUUAGUUGUGCCAGUCAUCACUCAUGUCAAUGCUUUCCCCCAUUUUUUAAAAACAUGAGUUGUUGAAAAAAACUAUAAAAAAUUAGCAUAAACCCAAGAAUUAUUAAGUUAUAUGUAGAGUUUUUCAAAAAUGUUUCUGUGCUAGAAUAUCAAUGUAGAGACAUAUUUUGACAAAAUGAGCUAUUCUAAGAGCAAAUGUAUAUGAUAUUUUGGAAUAGUAAAAUACAACCUUGACAAGGUGUUAACUUACUAAUGUCUACAGUACAUGUAUGUAGACAUGAAUAAUUACGCUUUGAUUGUUAAAGAGACACAACAUACAUCUGUGCAUAAGUUUAUGACUUUUGAGGAUAAUUUUCAAUUUUUUAGGGCUUUUCGACUUUCAUCGUAAAGACCUAUUGUUUUCGUCUUUUUUUAUUAUUAUUAGGGCUUUUCGACUUUGGUCGAAAAGACCUAUUGUUUUUGUGUUUUUUUAUUAUUAUUCUUUUUAUUCUCUACAGAUUUCUGUCAGCUUUUUCAAGAAAACGGUGGUCAAUAAGGAAAAAACUAUUUAAGAUUCUUGUAGAAAAUAUUAUCGUGUUCUGUAAAUAAGCUUUUGGACUUCCGGAUCUUUUACUUCGGGUUUCAACAAGGAUGGAAAGCGUUUUUGAUUGGGACCACAUAUCUUUGAAAAUGAACAUCACAAUAUACCGAAACUUUAGAUUUAGAUUCAUUAGACAUUGGUCUACAAUUAUAGUCAUUAUGAGCUCAAACUUCCAGCUCCUGUCAUUUACGAGAUAUUAAGGUUCUAAGAUUUUUUCAAAGGGGGGUGUCAGUUUGAAAAACUGCAAAUAAAUUUCAAAAAUUACUCAAUAUCUUCCAUAUUGUUAACAAUGAUAUUCUGAACAAGUUUGCCAAGUUUCAUUGAAAUAUAUUGAGUACUUCCGGUUGUAUGAAUCUUUGAAUUUCCCUAUGAGAGUUUCAAUGUUAAAAAAUUGAAAACACAUUAUUUAUCACCGCUUUAUAUCUAUAAAGAGAGAGAGAGAGAGAGAAAAAGAGAGAGAGAGAGAGAGAUUGAGAUAUUUCUAUUUAUAAUUUAUCACGGUUUUAUAUUUAUAAAGAGAGAGAGAGAGUUAUUGAGCUAUUUAUAAUUUAUCAUGGUUUUAUAUUUAUAAAGAGAGAGAGAGAGAGAAAUGUGUAAAACUGUAGCAAUAAUAAAGACAGAUGAAAUAUGGCAUGGCAAUAGUGUUGCAUACAUAUGACAAUAAUUACUCAUUUAGUCAAUGAUUGAGAGUAAGAGAGAGAGAGAAAGGGGAGUUAGACUAGCUAUGUGUCAGCUUCUGUUUGGGAUACCAUCUUUACACAAACACUACGUCCACAGAAACCCUAAAGAGAGAGAGGAAGGGGUGUAGACUUCAUGUCAGCUUCUGUUUGGGAUGCCAUCGUUACACAAACACUACGUCCACAGAAACCCUAAAGAGAGAGAGAGGGGGGGGGGGGGGGGGGGGGGUUAGACUUCGUGUCAGCUUCUGUUUGGGAUACCACCAUUACACAAACACUACAGCCACAGAAACCCUACAGACGGCCCAUAUUGAGGGGUAUCUUGAUCAUUCUUCAUUUGGUUGUACAUGUACACAGAUCUACUUGGAUUUAUUCAUUCUCUCGAAACACGGAUAUUUUACCUACUACACCCACAACACCACGAACUGCCAGGACACCAGGAAGUGCCCGGAAACGCCGGGUAAUAUUAUCUUUAGGAAAUUAUUUAUAUACGAUAUAUAACAGUUUAAUUAGAAGUUUUAAAAAGCAAAGGUUUAGAAAUGGGCUAAACCUGUUAUCUGCAAUACAUAAAUAUGACCAAGUUUGAAGGUUUACAGGAAAUAGAAAUGUGGUAUGCAUGUAGGUAGAAACUUUAAUUAAUUUUUUUUUUGCACAAAUCAAGACACUAAGCAUAAUUUAUGAUAACCUGAGAAAUUUCUUGUGUAUAUCAUAAAAAUAUACACAACAACCAAUCUCUUGGCCAGGUACAUUCCAGGUAAAUAACAUUGACCAUGGAUAAGCUCCGCCCACAUUCAGUGAUCCGUUGAGAAACCGGACAGUGUUUUUUGGGGGUCUUUAAAUUGUCAUAGCUUGUGUAUUGACUUAUCUCUCUUUCACCAUGCAUAAAACUUCUUAUUUCAUCUCCAGGUAGAUAUAUAUUUACCCUGAAAGGUUUUCAGAUUUUUUUUAAAGGUUUAACCGGUUCUUUUGCACAAUGUAUUUGGACAUUUUAUGAUAUACACAUCUAAAGUCUGCCAUUUUGUUGUCAAAAAGCCCUUUGUUUUUGUUUUAACGACAAAAAAUCUAGUUUAAAUUUUUUUAAAAAAAAAAUUCUCAAUCUCAGAAACAUCUGGUGCAAACCUACAUAAAAUCAACUCCCAUCAGUACUUUCAGUACUUUAAUUACUCAAUUCUUCUAACACAUUUAUUGAAAUUAUUUUCUUUUAAAUCUUUAGACAUGCUCUCACAACUAAACUUUGAAAUACUAAUUUUCUAGUGUAGAAACCACUCCUCAUUAAAUUAUUCUCAUAAAGUGAAUUGCCACUGACAAACAUUGAUCAGUAAAAAUAUCCAAUGACAGUUUCAUCCAUUGCAGUAUAAGUGACAAAGAAGCUCUGCACAGUGUCAAUAAUCGCACAAAAGCCUGGUUCAUUUAGUGAUGACUUUUUAAUUACACACCUUCCACCAGCCAAGCCCAAAUCAAUGUUUAUUCUAAUCUGGUACAAAUCUAAUUAAUAUAAAACAUAUUAUCAUGGUUUUGUAAACAACAUGACUUUGUAUGAAUUUAUAAGUGGCAUACUUUUAACCAGCAAAUAAAACCAUUUUAGUAUUUGAAAGUGUUUUUUAUCAUAUAUUUGUUAUAUAAAAUAGGAUUUCUGCAUCUCUGAUAUGAACACAGACAAGCGCCCUUUAUCACACACCAUCUAUCAGCAUCCUUUAUUUUACCCUUUAUUUCACCCCUUAUCAUACGUUUCUGGAACACCUCUGUAGUUUUCAUUCAGAGUACCUCAGACUUUUUCUGCUUGGAAGCAGACGGUAUGAUUUUGUAAACAAAUGGAGAAAGCUAGAACGUUGGAAUCGCUAGCGAGGAGAAUUAGAAAACUUAAGGAAUUGAUCGAGUUGGUCAAGAUGUAAACAAUCAUUUUUAUCCAUUAGGCCAAUUCAACUUAAUAAUUAGUAGAUUAUUAUCCAGGGUCACAAAAAAAUAUGGGGCGGGUGGGAGGAGUUUAUUUUUUAAUUUUUAUUUCCCCAGAAAAAAAAUUAAUGACAAAAGACAUCACUGAAAGAGAUUAAGUUAACAUUCAAAGAAUCCUUGGUAGAAGAUAUAUAUAAAGCCAACAUUCUGUGACUUUAACCAUUCACUCAUGUCACUGGGAAGCAUGUUUGUAUGAAAUCGUAAUUUUUGCGAAAAUAAAAAAAAAAAUCGGGGAGGGCCCUUUUUUGAGGGGCAGGCAGGGAUCAAUUAAUUUUAAUUGGCCUUAAUGAGCCCUAAAAUUUCACUAUUUUCAAAUAUAUAAUAGAAACAACAAUGCAUGACAAAAUCUGUAUCACACUCGAUCCAUAUCAACUCUCGAUCAACCAAUAUCAGCCCUUGGGUCUAUGUAAUAUGUAUCAUAGUAAUGCUUAUAUUUGGAGGUUAUAUGCUAUGCUUA